CAUACGAACAAAAGCAAAAAUAACGGAACUUUUUUCUACGAAUUUGUUCUCGCCGCCGUAUGCAUUUUAAAAUUUGUCACAGAAUUUAUGGCAAGACUUAGUAUAUUGUGAAUGAAAAAUAAUGAAACUUUUAAAUAGAAGCACAAGAAAGACUGAAAACAAUCAUUGCAGCAUUAAAAUUUUGGAGCAAUAUGUGCUCUUCAUCGCAGAAUUGGCAAGCGGAAAGAAACAAAAUGGCAGCUAAUACCCGAAUUGAGCUCUCAUCCUUGGCUGUUAGAUGAGAUAUUCGUUGACUUUUGCUGCAUUGUUGUUAUAAUUAGCAAUAAUAAAAAAAAUUCCUUUGCGGUAACGGGAUUUAAAAUAAAGUUGAAAAAAUGAUCCUUUGUUCGGCCUUACUGCAAAUGACUGUGAUGUGACAAUGGAUCGGCAAGGGUCUGAGUUGGUUUAGAUACCGACUGCCGCUGCUACAAGUCUUCCUAGACUCUUAAAGUUCUUUAUAACUUAAAACCGUCUCAAAAUAAAUUGGAAAAUUCUGAGAA